rnacentral:lncRNA from 1 species
AAAAUCCCAACCAAAAUAAAAGUAUUCAUCUGGAUUCUACUUCGUAAGAGACUACUUACGGCCGAUAGAUUAAUCCGCCGAGGGUGCCCGGUGAAUCCGUACUGUAUUUUCUGUGCAGUCGCAUUGGAGGACUGUGACCAUCUUUUUUGGGAAUGUGUCUUCGUCAGAUAUCUCCUUCUGUUGGCGGGGAGUUCGAUUACUUGGGAGCCUGACAUUUGCGAUGUCAGGAGCUUAUGGUCGCGGACAGCUAAUUUCCCCAUUGCUCGGCCCAGAACGAUAAGCCUCACACGUCUGGCGGCGAUCUGGUGGGUCGUCUGGACAGAGCGCAACAAUAUUAUAUUCCGGGAUGUGGCUACGAACGCUGAUCGAGUUGUGGAACGGGUCGAUUCGUUGAGGAAAGACUGGACUGAAGCGCUUGAUCGGUGAACGCGCAAGCAGCCGAGAUAUCGACUUCAGGAAUACUCGCUUUCUACCUUGCCUUUUUUUGGGUUACUCUUCUGUACUAUCCGUUGGUGUGGUUUUUUGUUUUUCAUUCUUCUCGGUCCUUUGUUUUGUUCGUUUUCUUUCUAGAUUCCUCGCUCGCUUAGGAGGCCUUAGUUGCCUUCAUUUUGUACGCUAAAUUCAUUUUCCUUAAUGAAUGAAGCAGGUAGCUUGCUACCUAUUUUCUCAAAAAAAAAAAAAUAAAUAAAUUUCCAACAACUACUUCUUAUAAAUUAAACAAUACUAAUUUUUAUACAAUUAAUUUUAU